rnacentral:tRNA from 1 species
AGCUUUAUAGUUUAAUUAAAACAUAAAUUUUGUAAAUUUAAAUUAAUAUUUAAUAUUUUAAGCUU